rnacentral:rRNA from 1 species
UGGCGAACGGGUGAGUAAUACAUCGGAACGUGUCCGCUCGUGGGGGGACAACCAGCCGAAAGGUUGGCUAAUACCGCAUGAGUUCUACGGAAGAAAGAGGGGGACCCGCAAGGGCCUCUCGCGAGCGGAGCGGCCGAUGACUGAUUAGCCGGUUGGUGAGGUAACGGCUCACCAAAGCAACGAUCAGUAGCUGGUCUGAGAGGACGACCAGCCACACUGGGACUGAGACACGGCCCAGACUCCUACGGAAGGCAGCAG